rnacentral:rRNA from 1 species
UACGUAGGUGACGAGCGUUGUCCGGAUUUACUGGGCGUAAAGAGCGCGCAGGCGGUCGUACAAGUCGAGUGUGAAAUCCCCCGGCUCAACUGGGGAACGUCGCUCGAUACUGUUCGACUUGAAGGCGGGAGAGGGAAGCGGAAUUCCCGGUGUAGUGGUGAAAUGCGUAGAUAUCGGGAGGAACACCAGUGGCGAAGGCGGCGACCUGGGCCAAUACUGACGCUGAGGUGCGAAAGCGUGGGGAGCAAACAGG